GGGUGGAUCAUUGGCGAACGGGUGAGUAACACGUGGGCAAUCUGCCCUGCACUCUGGGACAAGCCCUGGAAACGGGGUCUAAUACCGGAUACGACCCGCCCCUGCAUGGGGGUGGGUGGAAAGCUCCGGCGGUGCAUGAUGAGCCCGCGGCCUAUCAGCUUGUUGGUGGGGUAAUGGCCUACCAAGGCGACUACGGGUAGCCGGCCUGAGAGGGCGACCGGCCACACUGGGACUGAGACACGGCCCAGACUCCUACAGGAGGCAGCAGUGGGGAAUAUUGCACAAUGGGCGAAAGCCUGAUGCACCGACGCCGCGUGAGGGAUGACGGCCUUCGGGUUGUAAACCUCUUUCAGCAGGGAAGAAGCGCAGGUGACGGUACCUGCAGAAGAAGCACCGGCUAACUACGUGCCAGCAGCCGCGGUAAUACGUAUGGUGCGAGCGUUGUCCGGAAUUAUUGGGCGUAAAGAGCUCGUACGCGGCCUGUCGCGUCGGAUGUGAAAGCCCGGGGCUUAACCCCGGGUCUGCAUUCGAUACGGGC
rnacentral:rRNA from 1 species